rnacentral:misc_RNA from 1 species
CAGAGUUCUCGCCCCUCGUGGGUAGAUCUCCCACCCUUGAAUACUAUACCUUUGUUGCUUUGGCGGGCCGCUUCGGCUACCGGCUCUGGCUGGUAAGUGCCCGCCAAAGGACCCCUAAACUCUGAAUAUUAGUGUUGUCUGAGUACUAUAUAAUAGUUA